GGGGGCAUAGCUCAGUGGUAGAGCAGUUUGACUGCAGAUCAAUAGGUCUCUGGUUCAACUCCAGAUGCCCCCU